GGGGCAUUCGUAUAGUGGCUUAUUAUACCUGGCUUCCAACCAGGGGAGGUGGUUUCGAUUACCACAUGUCCCU
rnacentral:tRNA from 1 species